rnacentral:rRNA from 1 species
CUACGGGGGGCUGCAGUGAGGAAUUUUGCGCAAUGGGGGAAACCCUGACGCAGCAACGCCGCGUGAGUGAAGAAGGCUUUCGGGUCGUAAAGCUCUGUCAAGUGGGAAAAAAUUCUUUCAAUGAAUAGUUGGAAGGCCUGAUGGUACCACUGGAGGAAGCACCGGCUAACUCCGUGCCAGCAGCCGCGGUAAUACGGAGGGUGCAAGCGUUGUUCGGAAUUACUGGGCGUAAAGGGCGUGCAGGCGGGUCGGUAAGUCAGAUGUGAAAGCCCUGGGCUCAACCCAGGAAGUGCAUUUGAAACUGCCAACCUUGAGUAUGGGAGAGGAGAGUGGAAUUCCCAGUGUAGAGGUGAAAUUCGUAGAUAUUGGGAGGAACACCCGUGGCGAAGGCGACUCUCUGGACCAAUACUGACGCUGAGACGCGAAAGCGUGGGGAGCAAACAGGAUUAGAUACCCGAGUAGUC